GGAUAAGAACCCCUUCCCCUCCCUUGUCCAAGUGUGUGCUCACCAUUGCUCCAUCUGUAAGGGUGUACCCUUCUGUAGAAGUACCUUGCCUUGCUGAGAAUUAAAAAGAAAAUUUUAUAUUCGAGUACUAGUUCUUUUGCAGCACCGAAACUUUAUUUAUAACAAUUUGGGGCCUCACCGGUGAUUACAUUAUCCUCCGGGGGCGGUCUCUGGUUCUCUCUUCUGAGGAGACAUGCCCCGCCCCCUUGUGGCGGCCUCGGGGGUGAGAACUCAAGACCCACUCAGUGCGAGGAAUAACCGCAGCUCUCAGCAACGCGCAGGGGAGGGGCUGGGGGGAGGGACUGGCCAGCAACCUAGCUUAAAGGAUCCUCAUAGACUGCAGCGACGAUUCUGUGCACAGACUAAGGAAGGAGAAGCUGCAGGAACCGGAAAACAAGCUUAUGUUACUAUAGAAGAAUGAGAGAUCACCUGGGCAAAUAUAAGACAUUUUAGAUGAUCCAUAAUAGAAUUACUAACCUCCAGUCUGUCUGCCAGCUCCACAAAGACACAAGAGCAAACCCAGAAAUUCUGAGAACCUUCCUUGAAAUCAUUGAACAGCAAAUGAACAAGCUGUUGCCAACCUGGGGUAGAAGACAGCAGAAUUCCAGCAAGUUUCCUGAAUGGAUUCCCAUUCACUGCUCUUGUUAAGCUGUGGAAUCCAUGUGGCCAGACCUAUGAUUGCUGUUUUUCUUCUCUUUGGCCAGGACUUGGGAGAGCUCUGGUAAGAGACAGGGAAACCUUUCCUUUCCCCUUCCCAGGGACUCAGUAAAUAUGCAGGCACCACAGCCAGGGUAUUCAUUGAUCAGAUGUACAUCCCUCCUCCACAACAGACAAAUUGAUCACUCUGGAUCACCAAGAAGAUCUACGUUGUUUACAUAAUAACAAUAGUGGGGUUUAUUACAGUGUAAUAUUGUAAUGACUUUUUGUCCAGGAAACUUGUGAACAUCCCAUUUUUAUCCACAAACUGUUAUUCUUUCCUGCAAGGUCCCCAAGGGAAGUAUACACACAAUAUAAUUAAAACACAACAAAGAAGCAUUCUACUGUGCGUUUACCAUACACUCUAAAGUGGAAUUUCAAGACACUAAGCGAAAGCAUACUUUAUUUUAAAUGUUAGAUAUGCUGGUAUGUUUUGUACAAUCAAAUACUUAUGAGACCUGUUCUCUCCAUUUGUCCUAGUGAGGCAGGAAAUUAAAGAAAAAUAAAAUUAAAAAGAGAAAUAAGUUUUCCUGUAUUAGGCUAACUUGUCCCAGGCAGCAACAGGCACAGCCCAGACCCAGGAAAAUUCUUGCUAAUAUUAUCUAAUGUGCUCUGGAGGCUCUCCCAGCAUUCCCUCAACAUACGGAGAAGAAAAACCAAAUUUUCCUUUAUUUUAUGGAAUGAGUUUAUAGAUUCCUGUUCUCUGUAACUAGUGACUUCAAGUAUUGUUUUAUCUAAGAAGUACAACGAAGGUCAUGAGAAGCCUGAGUAGGCCUGAACUACAGCUGCCUGGGCACCAUAGUGAAGGUUAUGGGAUAAGCCCGUGCCUAGGCAAACCUAGAUAACGGACAUCUGGGUUGCAUAGCAAUGGUUAUGUGCAAUCCUACGUUAUACACCUGUUACAAUUUGAUUAACUGUCUUUGUCCUGCCUCUGUAUCCCUGCUUUCACACCACUGUAAGCUUGCUUCAAGCUAGCCGACCCCCUUUUCUAAAGUGUAUAUAAAAGUCAAGUGCUGUCUUUGUUCUGGGCCCAGUCUUUGGACGUGAGUCUGCUGGGCCUGAGUGCACUCAAUAAAAGGUUCUCCUGUUUUAACCCGAGACCUCUCUUGUCCUCCUGGAUCCCGCAACAAUAGAGCCAAAAUCUUGGUCGUUGAAUUUUCUCCUUUAAUGGGACAAAGUCUUCAGGGGCCACCACUUCUCA
rnacentral:lncRNA from 1 species